CCGUGAGGUCCCUAACAUUGAGAAAAGAGGCAAGAAGGAUGCAGAAAAGAAACCGUCAGUAUUUGUCGUCCAAGGACCAAAGCCUGGAAAACCGACCGAUCUUUCAAGAAUGCGACACAUUCUUGUGAAGCUGAAGCAUUCACCUCCACCUCACAUGAUUCCACCUCCACCUGCUCCAGCAAAGGACGCUAAAGAUGGAAAGGAUGCUAAAGAUGGAAAAGACUCGAAAAACGUUGACAAGGCUGCAUCGAAUGGAACUGCAGAGAAAGGGGCACCCGUUUCAUCUGCAAAAGAUGGCGCCGCCCCCACUGGCACUGCUG
rnacentral:lncRNA from 1 species